rnacentral:tRNA from 1 species
ACCUGAAUAGCUCAGUUGGUUAGAGUGUGGUGCUGAUAGUGCCAAGGUUGCAGGUUCGAUCCUUGUAUGGGACA